rnacentral:rRNA from 1 species
CGGGACGGGUGAGUAAUGUCUGGGAAACUAGCCUGAUGGAGGGGGAUAACUACUGGAAACGGUAGCUAAUACCGCAUAACGUCGCAAGACCAAAGAGGGGGACCUUAGGGCCUCUUGCCAUCGGAUGUGCCCAGAUGGGAUUAGCUAGUAGGUGGGGUAAAGGCUCACCUAGGCGACGAUCCCUAGCUGGUCUGAGAGGAUGACCAGCCACACUGGAACUGAGACACGGUCCAG